GUGGAUUAGAUACCCGAGUAGUCCACGCCGUAAACGUUGGGCACUAGGUGUGGGUUCCUAUCGACGGAAUCCGUGCCGUAGCUAACGCAUUAAGUGCCCCGCCUGGGGAGUACGGCCGCAAGGCUAAAACUCAAAGGAAUUGACGGGGGCCCGCACAAGCAGCGGAGCAUGUUGCUUAAUUCGAGGCAACGCGAAGAACCUUACCUGGGCUUGACAUGUAGGGAAAAGCCGUAGAGAUACGGUGUCCUUUUGGGCCCUACACAGGUGGUGCAUGGCCGUCGUCAACU
rnacentral:rRNA from 1 species